GACGAACCGUGCGAACGUUGUUCGGAUUCACUGGGCUUAAAGGGCGCGUAGGCGGCUGCUCAAGUCGGGGGUGAAAUCUUUCCGCUCAACGGGAAAAUAACCUCCGAUACUGGGUAGCUCGAGGGAGAUAGGGGUGCGCGGAACUUCCGGUGGAGCGGUGAAAUGCGUAGAUAUCGGAAGGAACGCCGGUGGCGAAAGCGGCGCACUGGAUCUCUUCUGACGCUGAGGCGCGAAAGCCAGGGGAGCAAAGCGGG
rnacentral:rRNA from 1 species